UACGUAGGCAGCGAGCGUUGUUCGGAAUUACUGGGCGUAAAGAGUGUGUAGGCGGUGCUCCCAGUCUGUUGUGAAAUCUCCCGGCUUAACUGGGAGGGUGCAGCGGAAACUAGAGUGCUAGAGGGUGGGAGAGGUAAGCGGAAUUCCUGGUGUAGCGGUGAAAUGCGCAGAUAUCGGGAGGAACACCAGUGGCGAAGGCGGCACUCUGGGCCGGAACUGACGCUGAGGAGCGAAAGCGUGGGGAGCGAACAGG
rnacentral:rRNA from 1 species